rnacentral:rRNA from 1 species
UACGUAGGGAGCAAGCGUUGUCCGGAAUCAUUGGGCGUAAAGCGCGCGUAGGUGGCCCCAUAAGUCCGCUGUGAAAGUCAAAGGCUCAACCUUUGAAAGCCGGUGGAUACUGUGGGACUAGAGUACGGAAGAGGCGAGUGGAAUUCCUGGUGUAGCGGUGGAAUGCGCAGAUAUCAGGAGGAACACCGGUGGCGAAGGCGGGUCUCUGGGCCGUUACUGACGCUGAGGAGCGAAAGCGUGGGGAGCGAACAGG